GAUGAACGCUGGCGGCGUGCCUAAUACAUGCGAGUCGAGCGAACAGACGAGGAGCUUGCUCCUCUGACGUUAGCGGCGGACGGGUGAGUAACACGUGGAUAACCUACCUAUAAGACUGGGAUAACUUCGGGAAACCGGAGCUAAUACCGGAUAAUAUAUUGAACCGCAUGGUUCAAUAGUGAAAGACGGUUUUGCUGUCACUUAUAGAUGGAUCCGCGCCGCAUUAGCUAGUUGGUAAGGUAACGGCUUACCAAGGCGACGAUGCGUAGCCGACCUGAGAGGGUGAUCGGCCACACUGGAACUGAGACACGGUCCAGACUCCUACGGGAGGCAGCAGUAGGGAAUCUUCCGCAAUGGGCGAAAGCCUGACGGAGCAACGCCGCGUGAGUGAUGAAGGUCUUCGGAUCGUAAAACUCUGUUAUUAGGGAAGAACAAAUGUGUAAGUAACUAUGCACGUCUUGACGGUACCUAACCAGAAAGCCACGGCUAACUACGUG
rnacentral:rRNA from 1 species